AAAACAAUAUCAGUAGUUCCAUUUUCUUCAGCGUAAAAAAGUAAUUACGUUUCAGCCGUUCCCUUUCAUCAGCGUAAAAGAAAAUUACUUCGGUUCGGUGCUGAAACAAAUAUCAAGUGAAAAAUCAAAGCCCUAAAUGUGAAAAUUCUUCCCUCCCAAACUCAUCAAAACCUCCAUCGUAUGAUUUUUCAGAAGCUGAAACAAAGAUUGUCCAGUGUAUCUUCUACCAAAUCGCAACCCUAACCCUUUGUUCCCUUCUCCUUCUUCUCAAACCCUUCAAGUUGCAACUCGGAAUUAGGAUUUUAGGGUUUCAAGGAAUCAUCUCAAUCAAAGCUUUGAAGUAAGUCUCUCGACGACGACAUUGAUUCCCCUAAGAGCUACAAGGGUCAUAGCACGUUGUGAAUGAAAACUCUAAUAUAAAUGAUUUUUCACUUCAAGCUUUUAUGAUUCAUCGAUUCGUUGCCCAGACUCCUCCAAGCCAAUUACUGUUGCAGAUGUCCAUAAGUUUUUUGAUGAUGUUAAGAAUAAGCAACGCCGUAUAAAUGAUGUGGUCAAGCGCAGCAGCAAUGCGGUUAGCUUUUAUAUAUUUUGAUAUCUCUCCACCUUGAUUCCAUGGAGUAACUUAUAUCAGCAGGUGCAGCAGAAACCCCACACUUGAAGUACACAAAUUAGUCACCUGGCCCGUGAUUCUUAGUUUGAAACUUCUUCUCUCCAUUUAUAAACACAAUCACUUAUGAUAUGAGUUAUGAAGUUUGCUUUGUAUUUGUUUAAUUGAAGAUUUAUGAAUUUUUUUUCUUCCAAAAAUACGGAUGAAAAUCAUGAUUGAUUGUAGUUUUGGACGUGAAUAAAGUCUAAGCAAGGUUCACAUGAUGUUACUUUGUUGAAUUUUGGAAUAUUGAUUGUAAUUUUGGACUCAUUAAAAUAUGUUUUUAAUUUAUCUAUGUUGUAUCUUUUGUGUCUUU